rnacentral:rRNA from 1 species
GAUCAUGGCUCAGGAUGAACGCUAGCUACAGGCUUAACACAUGCAAGUCGAGGGGCAGCAUGGUCUUAGCUUGCUAAGGCCGAUGGCGACCGGCGCACGGGUGAGUAACGCGUAUCCAACCUGCCUUACACUCUUGGACAGCCUUCUGAAAGGGAGAUUAAUACAAGAUGUUAUCAUGAGUAAGCAUUUUCGCAUGAAUUUAAAGGUUUACCGGUGUAAGAGUGGGGAUGUCG